AUCUAUGAUCAUUUCUCCUGAGUAUGCCUGAUCUCAUUUGAUCUUUGAAGGUAAGCAGGGUGGGUAUAAGUUAGUAGUUGGACUGGAGACAUCCUAAGAAUACUGGAUGCUGUAGGCU
rnacentral:rRNA from 1 species